rnacentral:lncRNA from 1 species
GGAAAAGAGAGGAUGCAGAUGAACAAGAGGCAGAAAGAUGAAAUCUAAACCCCAGUUGGAUUGAUUAAUAUUAGCUAAAGAUAGAUACUUUUUCAUAAGUAUGGGUAAAACAAGAUAAAUAUUGAUAUAGUACAGGUACAUCUGUAGGAAGGAGGGCAUGAAGUCAAGGCAGAUAUUACAACAUGGGCUCUCAUUCUUCUAUGAGAGGAGAAAUAAAGUAAAAAAUAUCUAUAAUCACACUACACAAAGAAGAUCAUUGCAAAUGUUACUCUAGAUCUUCUACAUUUUUGGUGCACAAAAUAUGCAUAAUAUUCAUUAUGUACAAUAUAUAAUUAAAUAUCUAGGUUAUUUUUAAGCUGCAUACAUAGUUAUCGCUAUAUUAUCACAAUUUCCCCAUGUUGUUAAGAUUUCUUCUAUGUGAAAAUGUUAAUGACUGUACAGUAGUGCGUUGAGUAACA